GAGCUGUCUGUCUUUUCCAUCUGGGCUACACAGUGAGCUGAGAAGGUCAAGGGCACUUUCUAUGGGCAGCACCCAUGCUAGACUUUGGAGCCCAGUUUGCAUGGGAAAACCAGCUAUUGUCACAAACACUCUGAGCAUGUCACGCUGAGGGGCAAAGCAGCAGGCGUCCAGUUUGGAAGUCUCCUCCUAGAAUGCUGGUUGCUUAGCAACAAGAU
rnacentral:lncRNA from 1 species